rnacentral:rRNA from 1 species
AUGAACGCUAGCGGCAGGCUUAAAUACAUGCAAGUUGAGGGGCAGCAUGAUAUACGCGAGUAUAUUGAUGGCGACCGGCGGACGGGUGAGUAAUAGGUAGGAGACCUACCUCAUACAGGGGGAUAGCAUAGAGAAAUCUGUGGUAAUACCCCAUGAGGUUAUAUGAAUAGAGGCAUAUAAUCAAAGCAUAAGCGAUUAUGCGGUAUGAGAGGGGCCUACUGACCAUUAGCUAGUUGGUGAGGUAAGGGCUCACCAAGGCGAAGAUGGUUAGGGGUUUGAGAGAGAGACCCCCCACAUUGGAACUGAGAGACGGUCCAGACUCCUACGGGAGGCAGCAGUAGGGAAUAUUGGGCAAUGGGCGAAAGCCUGACCCAGCCAUGCCGCGUGAAGGAAGACGGCCUUAUGGGUUGUAAACUUCUUUACUACGCGAAUAGAGGUUAGUACGAGAUACUAAUAGGAAGGUAGUGUAGUAAAAAGCACCGGCUAACUCCGUG